rnacentral:rRNA from 1 species
UACGGAGGGUGCAAGCGUUAUCCGGAUUCACUGGGUUUAAAGGGUGCGUAGGAGGGCAGGUAAGUCAGUGGUGAAAUCCCCGAGCUUAACUUGGGAACUGCCGUUGAUACUAUCUGUCUUGAAUACCGUGGAGGUGAGCGGAAUAUGUCAUGUAGCGGUGAAAUGCUUAGAUAUGAACAUAGAACACCAAUUGCGAAGGCAGCUCGCUACACGAAUAUUGACUCUGAGGCACGAAAGCGUGGGGAUCAAACAGGA